CAACCUGCCGAUGACUCGGGGAUAGUCUUUCGAAAGAAAGAUUAAUACCCGAUGGCAUAGUUCUUCCGCAUGGUAGAACUAUUAAAGAAUUUCGGUCAUCGAUGGGGAUGCGUUCCAUUAGGUUGUUGGCGGGGUAACGGCCCACCAAGCCUUCGAUGGAUAGGGGUUCUGAGAGGAAGGUCCCCCACAUUGGAACUGAGACACGGUCCAAACUCCUACGGGAGGCAGCAGUGAGGAAUAUUGGUCAAUGGACGAGAGUCUGAACCAGCCAAGUAGCGUGAAGGAUGACUGCCCUAUGGGUUGUAAACUUCUUUUAUACGGGAAUAAAGUGAGGCACGUGUGCCUUUUUGUAUGUACCGUAUGAAUAAGGAUCGGCUAACUCCGUGCCAGCAGCCGCGGUAAUACGGAGGAUCCGAGCGUUAUCCGGGUUUAUUGGGUUUAAAGGGAGCGUAGGCGGACGCUUAAGUCAGUUGUGAAAGUUUGCGGCUCAACCGUAAAAUUGCAGUUGAUACUGGGUGUCUUGAGUACAGUAGAGGCAGGCGGAAUUCGUGGUGUAGCGGUGAAAUGCUUAGAUAUCACGAAGAACUCCGAUUG
rnacentral:rRNA from 1 species